GGUUAAGCGACUAAGCGUACACGGUGGAUGCCCUCGGCAGUCAGAGGCGAUGAAGGACGUGCUAAUCUGCGAAAAGCGUCGGUAAGGUGAUAUGAACCGUUAUAACCGGCGAUGUCCGAAUGGGGAAACCCAGUGCAAUUCGUUGCACUAUCGUUAACUGAAUACAUAGGUUAACGAGGCGAACCGGGGGAACUGAAACAUCUAAGUACCCCGAGGAAAAGAAAUCAACCGAGAUUCCCCCCAGUAGCGGCGAGCGAACGGGGAGCAGCCCAGAGUCUGAAUCAGCUUGUGUGUUAGUGGAACGGUCUGGAAAGUCCGACGGUACAGGGUGAUAGUCCCGUACACCAAAAUGCACAGGCUGUGAACUCGAAGAGUAGGGCGGGACACGUGGUAUCCUGUCUGAAUAUGGGGGACCAUCCUCCAAGGCUAAAUACUCCUGACUGACCGAUAGUGAACCAGUACCGUGAGGGAAAGGCGAAAAGAACCCCGGCGAGGGGAGUGAAAAAAGAACCUGAAACCGUGUACGUACAAGCAGUGGGAGCACCUUCGGGUGUGACUGCGUACCUUUGUAUAAUGGGUCAGCGACUUAUAUUCUGUAGCAAGGUUAACCGUAUAGGGGAGCCGCAGGGAAACCGAGUCUUAACUGGGCGUUAAGUUGCAGGGUAUAGACCCGAAACCCGGUGAUCUAGCCAUGGGCAGGUUGAAGGUUGGGUAACACUAACUGGAGGACCGAACCGACUAAUGUUGAAAAAUUAGCGGAUGACUUGUGGCUGGGGGUGAAAGGCCAAUCAAACCGGGAGAUAGCUGGUUCUCCCCGAAAGCUAUUUAGGUAGCGCCUCGUGAACUCAUCUUCGGGGGUAGAGCACUGUUUCGGCUAGGGGGUCAUCCCGACUUACCAACCCGAUGCAAACUACGAAUACCGAAGAAUGUUAUCACGGGAGACACACGGCGGGUGCUAACGUCCGUCGUGAAGAGGGAAACAACCCAGACCGCCAGCUAAGGUCCCAAAGUCAUGGUUAAGUGGGAAACGAUGUGGGAAGGCACAGACAGCCGGGAUGUUGGCUUAGAAGCAGCCAUCAUUUAAAGAAAGCGUAAUAGCUCACUGGUCGAGUCGGCCUGCGCGGAAGAUGUAACGGGGCUAAACCAUGCACCGAAGCUGCGGCAGCGACACUAUGUGUUGUUGGGUAGGGGAGCGUUCUGUAAGCCUGCGAAGGUGUGCUGUGAGGCAUGCUGGAGGUAUCAGAAGUGCGAAUGCUGACAUAAGUAACGAUAAAGCGGGUGAAAAGCCCGCUCGCCGGAAGACCAAGGGUUCCUGUCCAACGUUAAUCGGGGCAGGGUGAGUCGACCCCUAAGGCGAGGCCGAAAGGCGUAGUCGAUGGGAAACAGGUUAAUAUUCCUGUACUUGGUGUUACUGCGAAGGGGGGGACGGAGAAGGCUAUGUUAGCCGGGCGACGGUUGUCCCGGUUUAAGCAUGUAGGCUGAUUGUCCGAGGCAAAUCCGGAUAAUCAAGGCUGAGGUGUGAUGACGAGGCACUACGGUGCUGAAGUAACAAAUGCCCUGCUUCCGAGGAAAAGCCUCUAAGCAUCAGGUAACAUUAAAUCGUACCCCAAACCGACACAGGUGGUCAGGUAGAGAAUACCAAGGCGCUUGAGAGAACUCGGGUGAAGGAACUAGGCAAAAUGGUGCCGUAACUUCGGGAGAAGGCACGCUGGUGUGUAGGUGAAGUCCCUGCGGAUGGAGCUGAGACCAGUCGAAGAUACCAGCUGGCUGCAACUGUUUAUUAAAAACACAGCACUGUGCAAACACGAAAGUGGACGUAUACGGUGUGACGCCUGCCCGGUGCCGGAAGGUUAAUUGAUGGGGUUAUCCGUAAGGAGAAGCUCUUGAUCGAAGCCCCGGUAAACGGCGGCCGUAACUAUAACGGUCCUAAGGUAGCGAAAUUCCUUGUCGGGUAAGUUCCGACCUGCACGAAUGGCGUAAUGAUGGCCGAGGCUGUCUCCACCCGAGACUCAGUGAAAUUGAACUCGCUGUGAAGAUGCAGUGUACCCGCGGCAAGACGGAAAGACCCCGUGAACCUUUACUAUAGCUUGACACUGAACAUUGAGCCUUGAUGUGUAGGAUAGGUGGGAGGCUUUGAAGCGUGGACGCCAGUCUGCGUGGAGCCAACCUUGAAAUACCACCCUUUAAUGUUUGAUGUUCUAACGUUGGCCCCUGACCGGGGUUGCGGACAGUGUCUGGUGGGUAGUUUGACUGGGGCGGUCUCCUCCCAAAGCGUAACGGAGGAGCACGAAGGUUAGCUAAUCCCCGGUCGGACAUCAGGAGGUUAGUGCAAUGGCAUAAGCUAGCUUGACUGCGAGCGUGACGGCGCGAGCAGGUGCGAAAGCAGGUCAUAGUGAUCCGGUGGUUCUGAAUGGAAGGGCCAUCGCUCAACGGAUAAAAGGUACUCCGGGGAUAACAGGCUGAUACCGCCCAAGAGUUCAUAUCGACGGCGGUGUUUGGCACCUCGAUGUCGGCUCAUCACAUCCCCGGGGCUGAAGUAGGUCCCAAGGGUAUGGCUGUUCGCCAUUUAAAGUGGUACGCGAGCUGGGUUUAGAACGUCGUGAGACAGUUCGGUCCCUAUCUGCCGUGGGCGCUGGAGAAUUGAGGGGGCUGCUCCUAGUACGAGAGGACCGGAGUGGACGCAUCACUGGUGUUCGGGUUGUCAUGCCAAUGGCACUGCCCGGUAGCUAAAUGCGGAAGAGAUAAGUGCUGAAAGCAUCUAAGCACGAAACUUGCCCCGAGAUGAGUUCUCCCUGAGACUUUAAGUCUCCUGAAGGAACGUUAAAGACGAUGACGUUGAUAGGCCGGGUGUGUAAGCGCAGCGAUGCGUUGAGCUAACCGGUACUAAUGAACCGUGAGGCUUAACCUU
rnacentral:rRNA from 1 species